UUACAAUAAUUUUGGGCUAAAAUCCUCAGAUACCUUUGAAAAACCACGAAACCAUCUUCAUUGUGUCUUGCAUCAUACUUUUGAAUUGUUUUAGCCACAAAUACUACAGUUUUUUUAGGUUUCUGAAGCAAAAACUGCGGCUUCUUGUUCGAAAGCUCUUUAUGUUUUGAAUUCGCGGCUUUACGGAUAAAAGCUGCGACGUGAUUGGUCAUUUUUCCCGCCCAAAACUUCCAGCCUGCAGAUCGGGUGAAAUUAAGGCGGAUUGAUCGAUGGGGGGUUGG